AAUAGAUACCCGGGUAGUCCACCCGUAACGUUGGGACUAGUUGUGGGGUCCUUUCCACGGAUUCCGUGACGCAGCUAACGCAUUAAGUUCCCCGCCUGGGGAGUACGGCCGCAAGGCUAAAACUCAAAGGAAUUGACGGGGACCCGCACAAGCGGCGGAGCAUGCGGAUUAAUUCGAUGCAACGCGAAGAACCUUACCAAGGCUUGACAUACACGAGAACACCCUGGAAACAGGGGACUCUUUGGACACUCGUGAACAGGUGGUGCAUGGUUGUCGUCAGCUCGUGUCGUGAGAUGUUGGGUUAAGUCCCGCAACGAGCGCAACCCUCGUUCUAUGUUGCCAGCACGUAAUGGUGGGAACUCAUGGGAUACUGCCGGGGUCAACUCGGAGGAAGGUGGGGAUGACGUCAAAUCAUCAUGCCCCUUAUGUCUUGGGCUUCACGCAUGCUACAAUGGCCGGUACAAAGGGCUGCAAUACCGUGAGGUGGAGCGAAUCCCAAAAGCCGGUCCCAGUUCGGAUUGAGGUCUGCAACUCGACCUCAUGAA
rnacentral:rRNA from 1 species